UCCGAUUUGGCACCGGCGGUCUCCCAUGAGUCCCCGGCAUUACCCGCUGGCAACAUGGGACAGGGGUUGCGCUCGUUAUAGGACUUAACCUGACAUCUCACGACACGAGCUGACGACAGCCAUGCACCACCUGUCACCCAGUCCGAAGAGGGCCCCAUCUCUGAGGCUUUCCGGGUGAUGUCAAACCCAGGUAAGGUUCUUCGCGUUGCAUCGAAUUAAGCCACAUGCUCCACCGCUUGUGCGGGCCCCCGUCAAUUCCUUUGAGUUUCAUUCUUGCGAACGUACUCCCCAGGUGGUGUGCUUACUGCGUUAACUGCGUCACGGACCCGGAAGGGCCCACAACUAGCACACAUCGUUUACAGCGUGGACUAC
rnacentral:misc_RNA from 1 species